ACAYGUUAUCGGAASGUUUACAGUUGAUUUGAGAGAAGCAAAGAGUUUUUUUUCUGUCACUUGGAUUUACUGGAUUGAGGCAUGUUUCGAGUUGUCUUCCUUGYGUGUCUUGUUUUCGCGGUUGCUUCGUCUGCAUAUGGCCGCAUCGCUUACARCAAAUGCGACGUUAGUGUGGGUGCACGGAGACAGUGCCUUUGGAAGGGCGCUUCCUAUAGAAAAUGUAAAGUAAGAGGAUGCUGCUAGAGUUGGGGAAAAUGUUACUUUGGUGGAGAACCCAUCUGUAGCGGAACCAAGUCAUGUGGUCGUGGACGGAAUUUGUCAAAAAGGGAUUGUCGUGACUAUCGUUAUAAUGACUGCUGUUACAACGCGGCUAGGAGAGAAUGUUACCAAUUAAAGUACAUAGUCGAUUAAAACGACGUUGAUAGAUAUGUGGCAACAGACAGGGCUAAUGUAGUAGCGUCAGAAAUGUUUGGACUGUUGUACAAAUAGAAAAAUAAAAUGAUAUUUCAACC